AACCGCGGUUAAACGGAUGAGCCCAAAUUGAUAGAAAACCGGCGUAGAGGGUGGUUAGAGAAUAAAAUUAUAGAGUCGAAGAGAUUCGAUGUUGUCAAAAGCAUCCGAAGACACGAAGGACAAUCACGAAAGUAACUCUAUACACUAAACGACUCCACGAAAGCCGCAAAA
rnacentral:rRNA from 1 species